GAUAUAGAUUGCAGGAACAUCCUGCAAAACGGAGCUUAAUGACAUGACAAUUUUUUGUUGUAUAACAAAUGAAAGCAAACGCAGUGUCGGAAACUCCUAUUGUUCUCGCAUAGCUAGUGUUUACAGCGCCUCUAUGCUGUGCGCUCCGAUUUUGAAGAACUAAAAUUCAAUAUGGCUGUGAAUUCAAUGUGAUAAAAUAUGGCAACAAUACUAAGGACGUAAUCAACGUGGCCAAGCCGAAAAGUUAUAUUUUAAAAUUUAAAAAAUGGGCAGAGCAUGUUGUGUACAAGGAUGCAAAUCGGGCAAAAUAGCUCCAUCACAUGUGAUUCCUAAAAAUAAAGAACGCCGCAAACAAUGGUUACAAAUUUUAAAAAUUGAUGAUAAGAAUAAAGAAGUAAUAAAUCAGUUACGAGUUUGUUAUAAACAUUUUCGUGACAAUGAUUAUUCUUGCUGUCCAAGAGUUCGUAAAUUAAUAAGUACUGCUGUCCCAAGUAUGGAAUUAGAGUACUCAGAAGAAAUAAAUUCACAAAUUCAUAAUCAAGAGAAAAUAGAAAUAUUGUACCAUCAGCAAGAAGAGAGAUUAAAAACACAUGAUCAACAAGUAGAGGGCAUAGAAAUAUCUCAUUGUCAACAAGAAAAGAGAACAGAAAUGUUAUCUGAGAAACAAGAAGACAUUUUAAGCAGAAUAGAAAUGUUACAUGAUCAACAUAUUAAAAAAAUUGAAAUAUUGCACCAACAAGAAGAAAGAAUGGAAAUGUUGCAUAAUCAACAAGAAGAGAGAAUGGAAAUGUUGUAUCAUCAACAAGAAGAGAGAAUGGAAAUGUUGACUCUAAAACAAGAAGAAAGUCAAAAGAAAAUAGAAACACUACAAGUAGAAAAAAUAGGAAUGAUGUAUAAUCAACAAGAAAAGAGAAUAGAAAUGUUUCAGAAACAAGAAGAAAUUCAAAACAAAUUAAAAAUGUUACAUGAUCAACAAAUAAAAAAAAUGGAAACAUUACACUAUCAGCAGAUAAAAAACAUGAUAAUGUUGCAUGAUCAACAAAUAAAAACAAUGGAAAUGUUGCACCAUCAAAAAGAAGAGAAAAUAGAAAUAUUGUUUCAAAAACAAGAAAAAAUUGAAGAGAGAAUAAAAAUGUUACAUCACCAACAACAGAAAAUAAGAAAAAGACCUAAUAUUCUGAGAAUUAUACAAAAAAGGCCUCACAUUCAAUUGCUUUAUCAAAAACUUGUCAAAUUAGAAAAGGAUCAAAGAUGUUUAAGGAAUAUAGUUAAAAAAAUGAAACAGAAACAAAUAUCUGAUAGAAAGGGAGAUACUAAGAUUUGUCUCAAUUUAACUAUGCUAAAUGGUGAAAAUAAUUCUGCUGAAUGAAAGCAGAAUAAAACAGUAUUCUAAGACUCAAAAUACAGAGGUGGCAAAGAAGGAUAUAAUAGGUAUAUUACAUCUUAACAAAGGUUCGGUGUAUAAAAUAGAAUCUUUUGGCUCUUGUUACAAUAUUCUCAUCUGCAUAUGGCUGAUUAACAUUCGUCUUAAUAAUGCACCCAUGUGCUACAUUAAGUCAAGCAGAUUUCCCUUCUUCAAUACUAAGUAUUUAAAUUGACUGAAAUCAGCGACUGAAUUUUAGUUUCUCAAAAUUGGGACGCACAAUAUAGAGGUGCUACAAAUACUGAUGACAUGCGAGAACAAUAGGAAUUUACCGACUCUAGCAAAACGCGUCUUUCUUUCUGUAACGUAGCACUGGCGUUAACGAGUAAUGCCAUCUAUGCAAAUUCACGACACUCUAUAUUACAUUAGAAAUGCUUUUAUCUUACCACAGUCAAAAUUGUAAGCGUAACAAUCAUCUGAAGACCGAUUACUUGUUGGACGUAGUGUAAUGAUUCUAAAAAUAUUGAUUAAUUAAAUAUAUAAAUUAUAUAUUUUACAUUUGUAGUUAUGUACGAAAUGUAAUUAUGUUAUGCUUUCGAAAUUCUAUAUACACAAGAAUAAUAUACUUGUAACAGCGUUCUUUAUA
rnacentral:misc_RNA from 1 species